UUUGUGGACCCCACCCACGUUUUCUCUACCUUAUCUCCUCCUCUACUGAGAAUAUCUGGAGGAAUAAAUUUUGAGAUGGCAGAAUUUACGUCUCUUCCAGUAGAUGUUUUCAUUCAACAUAUAAUCCUAAUUUCUUGAAAGCAUGCACAUGGUCUUUGGCAUAUUUUACCUCUCUUCCAGUAGGCGAUUCUCAGUAGUAUGCAGUGUAUCCUUUUAUUAUUACAUAUGUGAAGAUGUUCCCAUUCGGAGAGCCCAGGAUCAAUUUUAUCACAGAAAAGGAGGAUAUAAUGAAAAGACUAUACAUGCUUGUGUUUGGAUACUGGAGUUGGUAUUAUUUGCCUUGGUUAGGAAAAAAGUUCUAUUUCGUAUGGUCUUUAUUUCACUGGAUGCUUCAACAUGGUGUUCCAUUUUGUUACGGGGUUAUUGCUCUUCAGAAGUUUCACCUGUGUUCAUUUCGGCGGGAGGAUGAGUGAAGAGGAUACCAUGAGCGGUGCCGAGCAGCUGAGGCACCCCACCCCGAAGCUCAAUGAGAGGAUCAUGUCGUCUCUGUCGAGGAGAUAGAAAGCUGCGCACCUACUCCGUUGGUGUUCUCAUUUUAUUUUCAGAUCAAAUGGCACCGGAGAUAUCUGAAAUUCUGAAACCAAUUAGAGUAUUUGAAGACAGUGCCAUUUCUAUAAGAGCCUUUACCGACAACUCGAUCUGAGGAACAAAUCUCAGGCAGAGGCAAGUUAGGCUAUGGCCAGGUGGUGGCACUUUGCGACUACCUCAUAUUGUUGAGAAUGAGAGCUCCGGUCUCUACAUCACCUACACCUCAAGUACCGGAGAUACACGGGCCAAUUACUAGAGCUCGU